rnacentral:rRNA from 1 species
CCUACGGGUGGCAGCAGUGGGGAAUAUUGCACAAUGGGGGAAACCCUGAUGCAGCGACGCCGCGUGAGUGAAGAAGUAUCUCGGUACGUAAAGCUCUAUCAGCAGGGAAGAAAAUGACGGUACCUGACUAAGAAGCCCCGGCUAACUACGUGCCAGCAGCCGCGGUAAUACGUAGGGGGCAAGCGUUAUCCGGAUUUACUGGGUGUAAAGGGAGCGUAGACGGCAGCACAAGUCUGGAGUGAAAUCCCGGGGCUUAACCCCGGAACUGCUUUGGAAACUGUGCGGCUGGAGUUGGAGAGAAGUACGCGGAAUGCGCGGUGUAGCGGUGAAAUGCUUAGAUAUCGCGCAGAACCCCGAUUGCGAAGGCAGCGUACCGGCUCCACACUGACGCUGAGGCACGAAAGCGUGGGUAUCGAACAGGAUUAGAUACCCGGGUAGUC